UACGUAGGUGGCAAGCGUUGUCCGGAUUUACUGGGCGUAAAGAGCGCGCAGGCGGUCGUUCAAGUCGCGUGUGAAAGCCCCCGGCUCAACUGGGGAGGGUCACGCGAUACUGAUCGACUCGAAGGCAGGAGAGGGUAGUGGAAUUCCCGGUGUAGUGGUGAAAUGCGUAGAUAUCGGGAGGAACACCAAUGGCGAAAGCAGGUACCUGGACUAUUACUGACACUCAGCUGCGAAAGCUAGGGGAGCAAACAGG
rnacentral:rRNA from 1 species